rnacentral:rRNA from 1 species
CCUACGGGGGGCAGCAGUGAGGAAUAUUGGUCAAUGGGCGAGAGCCUGAACCAGCCAAGUCGCGUGAGGGAAGACGGUCCUAUGGAUUGUAAACCUCUUUUGUCGGGGAGCAACGGGGCAGUGUUGUGCCCUCUGAGAGUACCCGAAGAAAAAGCAUCGGCUAACUCCGUGCCAGCAGCCGCGGUAAUACGGAGGAUGCGAGCGUUAUCCGGAUUUAUUGGGUUUAAAGGGUGCGCAGGCGGCACGGCAAGCCGGCGGUCAAAUCGCGGGGCUCAACCCCGCCCAGCCGUCGGAACUGCCGGGCU